UACGGAGGGUGCGAGCGUUGUCCGGAAUCAUUGGGCGUAAAGGGCGCGUAGGUGGCCCGGUCAGUUCGUGGUGAAAGCGCGGGGCUCAACCCUGCGUCGGCCAUGAAUACUGCCGCGGCUGGAGCACUGUAGAGGCAGGCGGAAUUCCGGGUGUAGCGGUGGAAUGCGUAGAGAUCCGGAGAACACCGGUGGCGAAGGCGGCCCACUGGAUCGGUACUGGACGCUGAGGUGCGAAACGUGGGGAGCAAAC
rnacentral:rRNA from 1 species